rnacentral:lncRNA from 1 species
UGAUAGCUUUGCAUUAUCAUCACUGCACGUGUCAGUUCUAUUGUUUUGUAUUUUUCUAUUACGUCGGUUUGGUUUCACCGACCUCUCUCCCUAUAUAAAUGGUUUCACCGACCUCUCUUCCUAUAUAAAUGAUCACUCACGUUCAUUUGUAUAAUAAUAAAUAAUCAAAAGAAAUAUUAUGAUCACCUCAGUUUCCUCUCAUGUAAUACAUAUAUAUUAAAGUCAACAUCUUAUUUCUCUUUUUCCCAUCGAUCAGAAUA